rnacentral:tRNA from 1 species
AAAAUUUUAGUUUAAAAAAAAAUAUUUCAUUUACAUUGGAAAGAUUAAAAAAUUAAAAUUUUA